AUUGAACGCUGGCGGAAUGCUUUACACAUGCAAGUCGAACGGUAGAGGGGGCAACCCCUCGAGAGUGGCGAACGGGUGAGUAAUAUAUCGGAACGUGCCCAGUCGUGGGGGAUAACGUAGCGAAAGUUACGCUAAUACCGCAUACGAUCUAAGGAUGAAAGCGGGGGAUCGCAAGACCUCGCGCGAUUGGAGCGGCCGAUAUCAGAUGAGGUAGUUGGUGGGGUAAAGGCUCACCAAGCCAACGAUCUGUAGCUGGUCUGAGGGGACGACCAGCCACACUGGAACUGAGACACGGUCCAGACUCCUACGGGAGGCAGCAGUGGGGAAUUUUGGACAAUGGACGCAAGUCUGAUCCAGCCAUUCCGCGUGCAGGAUGAAGGCCCUCGGGUUGUAAACUGCUUUUGUACGGAACGAAAAGGUCUCUCUUAAUACGGGGGGCUCAUGACGGUACCGUAAGAAUAAGCACCGGCUAACUACGUGCCAGCCGCCGCCGUAA
rnacentral:rRNA from 1 species